GUGGCUAACCUACCCCGGGGACGGGGAUAGCCUUCCUAACGGAAGGGUAAUACCCGGCGAUGUGGCGAGGGGACAUCCUCAUGCCAUGAAAUGAGUUUCGCCUCGGGAGGGGGUCACGUGCUAUUAGCUUGUUGGCGGGGUAACGGCCCACCAAGGCGAAGAUGGCUAGCGGGUGUGAGAGCACGACCCGCGCCACUGGCACUGAGACACUGGCCAGACUCCUACGGGAGGCUGCAGUCGAGGAUCUUCGGCAAUGGGCGCAAGCCUGACCGAGCGACGCCGCGUGUGCGAUGAAGGCCUUCGGGUUGUAAAGCACUGUCGAGGGGGAGGAAAGCCGAAAGGUCUGACCUAUCCCUGGAGGAAGCACGGGCUAAGUUCGUGCCAGCAGCCGCGGUAAGACGAACCGUGCGAACGUUGUUCGGAUUCACUGGGCUUAAAGGGCGCGUAGGCGGCUUGCCAAGUCAGUGGUGAAAUCUUUCGGCUCAACCGGAAAAUGGCUGCUGAUACUGGCGGGCUG
rnacentral:rRNA from 1 species